GCCUCUGUAGCUCAGUGGUAGAGCAACCGCCUUGUAAGCGGUAGGUCGUCAGUUCAAUCCUGACCGGAGGCUCCA
rnacentral:tRNA from 4 species